UCCGGUUGAUCCUGCCGGGGGUUACUGCUAUCGGUGUUUGACUAAGCCAUGCGAGUCAAAUGUUCUUCGUGAACAUGGCGCAAUGCUCAGUAACACGUGGAUAACCUGCCCUCAGGUCCGGCAUAAUCUCGGGAAACUGAGGAUAAUUCCGGAUAUCCCUUUUCUGUUGGAAGACUUAAAGGGACAAAGAAUUUCGCCUGAGGAUGGGUCUGCGGCCUAUCAGGUUGUAGGGGGUGUAAGGUACCUCCUAGCCGACGACGGGUACGGGUUGUGAGAGCAAGAGCCCGGAGAUGGAUUCUGAGACAUGAAUCCAGGCCCUACGGGGCGCAGCAGGCGCGAAAACUUUACAAUGCAGGAAACUGUGAUAAGGAGACACCGAGUGCUCGCAUCAAAUGCGGGCUGUCCGCUUACUUAAAUCGUAAGCGUUAGCAAGGGCCGGGCAAGACCGGUGCCAGCCGCCGCGGUAAUACCGGUGGCCCGAGUGGUAGCCGCUUUUAUUGGGUCUAAAGGGUCCGUAGCCGGUUCGGUCAGUCCAUUGGGAAAUCCGGAUGCUCAACAUCCGGGCUUCCAGUGGAUACUGCCGAACUUGGGAUCGGGGGAGGUAAGAGGUACUAUAGGGGUAGGAGUGAAAUCUUGUAAUCCCUGUGGGACCACCUGUGGCGAAAGGCGUCUUACCAAAACGAGUCCGACGGUGAGGGACGAAAGCUGGGGGCACGAACCCGGAUUAGAUACCCGGGUAGUCCCAGCCCGUAACGAUGCUCGCUAGGUGUCAGGCAUGGCGUGACUGUGUUUGGUGCCGAAGGGAACCCGUGAGGCGAGCCACCUGGGAGUACGGCCGCAGGCUGAAACUUAAGGAUUGGCGGGGG
rnacentral:rRNA from 1 species